rnacentral:rRNA from 1 species
GCCCUGGCAGUCAGAGGCGAUGAAGGACGUGCUAAUCUGCGAUAAGCGUCGGUAAGGUGAUAUGAACCGUUAUAACCGGCGAUUUCCGAAUGGGGAAACCCAGUGUGAUUCGUCACACUAUCAUUAACUGAAUCCAUAGGUUAAUGAGGCGAACCGGGGGAACUGAAACAUCUAAGUACCCCGAGGAAAAGAAAUCAACCGAGAUUCCCCCAGUAGCGGCGAGCGAACGGGGAGGAGCCCAGAGCCUGAAUCAGUGUGUGUGUUAGUGGAAGCGUCUGGAAAGGCGCGCGAUACAGGGUGACAGCCCCGUACACAAAAAUGCACAUGCUGUGAGCUCGAUGAGUAGGGCGGGACACGUGGUAUCCUGUCUGAAUAUGGGGGGACCAUCCUCCAAGGCUAAAUACUCCUGACUGACCGAUAGUGAACCAGUACCGUGAGGGAAAGGCGAAAAGAACCCCGGCGAGGGGAGUGAAAAAGAACCUGAAACCGUGUACGUACAAGCAGUGGGAGCACAGAGCAAUCUGUGUGACUGCGUACCUUUUGUAUAAUGGGUCAGCGACUUAUAUUCUGUAGCAAGGUUAACCGAAUAGGGGAGCCGAAGGGAAACCGAGUCUUAACUGGGCGUUAAGUUGCAGGGUAUAGACCCGAAACCCGGUGAUCUAGCCAUGGGCAGGUUGAAGGUUGGGUAACACUAACUGGAGGACCGAACCGACUAAUGUUGAAAAAUUAGCGGAUGACUUGUGGCUGGGGGUGAAAGGCCAAUCAAACCGGGAGAUAGCUGGUUCUCCCCGAAAGCUAUUUAGGUAGCGCCUCGUGAAUUCAUCUCCGGGGGUAGAGCACUGUUUCGGCAAGGGGGUCAUCCCGACUUACCAACCCGAUGCAAACUGCGAAUACCGGAGAAUGUUAUCACGGGAGACACACGGCGGGUGCUAACGUCCGUCGUGAAGAGGGAAACAACCCAGACCGCCAGCUAAGGUCCCAAAGUCAUGGUUAAGUGGGAAACGAUGUGGGAAGGCCCAGACAGCCAGGAUGUUGGCUUAGAAGCAGCCAUCAUUUAAAGAAAGCGUAAUAGCUCACUGGUCGAGUCGGCCUGCGCGGAAGAUGUAACGGGGCUAAACCAUGCACCGAAGCUGCGGCAGCGACACUAUGUGUUGUUGGGUAGGGGAGCGUUCUGUAAGCCUGUGAAGGUGUGCUGUGAGGCAUGCUGGAGGUAUCAGAAGUGCGAAUGCUGACAUAAGUAACGAUAAAGCGGGUGAAAAGCCCGCUCGCCGGAAGACCAAGGGUUCCUGUCCAACGUUAAUCGGGGCAGGGUGAGUCGACCCCUAAGGCGAGGCCGAAAGGCGUAGUCGAUGGGAAACAGGUUAAUAUUCCUGUACUUGGUGUUACUGCGAAGGGGGGACGGAGAAGGCUAUGUUGGCCGGGCGACGGUUGUCCCGGUUUAAGCGUGUAGGCUGGUUUUCCAGGCAAAUCCGGAAAAUCAAGGCUGAGGCGUGAUGACGAGGCACUACGGUGCUGAAGCAACAAAUGCCCUGCUUCCAGGAAAAGCCUCUAAGCAUCAGGUAACAUCAAAUCGUACCCCAAACCGACACAGGUGGUCAGGUAGAGAAUACCAAGGCGCUUGAGAGAACUCGGGUGAAGGAACUAGGCAAAAUGGUGCCGUAACUUCGGGAGAAGGCACGCUGAUAUGUAGGUGAAGCGACUUGCUCGUGGAGCUGAAAUCAGUCGAAGAUACCAGCUGGCUGCAACUGUUUAUUAAAAACACAGCACUGUGCAAACACGAAAGUGGACGUAUACGGUGUGACGCCUGCCCGGUGCCGGAAGGUUAAUUGAUGGGGUCAGCGCAAGCGAAGCUCUUGAUCGAAGCCCCGGUAAACGGCGGCCGUAACUAUAACGGUCCUAAGGUAGCGAAAUUCCUUGUCGGGUAAGUUCCGACCUGCACGAAUGGCGUAAUGAUGGCCAGGCUGUCUCCACCCGAGACUCAGUGAAAUUGAACUCGCUGUGAAGAUGCAGUGUACCCGCGGCAAGACGGAAAGACCCCGUGAACCUUUACUAUAGCUUGACACUGAACAUUGAGCCUUGAUGUGUAGGAUAGGUGGGAGGCUUUGAAGUGUGGACGCCAGUCUGCAUGGAGCCGACCUUGAAAUACCACCCUUUAAUGUUUGAUGUUCUAACGUUGACCCGUAAUCCGGGUUGCGGACAGUGUCUGGUGGGUAGUUUGACUGGGGCGGUCUCCUCCUAAAGAGUAACGGAGGAGCACGAAGGUUGGCUAAUCCUGGUCGGACAUCAGGAGGUUAGUGCAAUGGCAUAAGCCAGCUUGACUGCGAGCGUGACGGCGCGAGCAGGUGCGAAAGCAGGUCAUAGUGAUCCGGUGGUUCUGAAUGGAAGGGCCAUCGCUCAACGGAUAAAAGGUACUCCGGGGAUAACAGGCUGAUACCGCCCAAGAGUUCAUAUCGACGGCGGUGUUUGGCACCUCGAUGUCGGCUCAUCACAUCCUGGGGCUGAAGUAGGUCCCAAGGGUAUGGCUGUUCGCCAUUUAAAGUGGUACGCGAGCUGGGUUUAGAACGUCGUGAGACAGUUCGGUCCCUAUCUGCCGUGGGCGCUGGAGAACUGAGGGGGGCUGCUCCUAGUACGAGAGGACCGGAGUGGACGCAUCACUGGUGU